UACGUAGGGUGCGAGCGUUGUCCGGAUUUAUUGGGCGUAAAGAGCUUGUAGGCGGCUCGUCACGUCGGGUGUGAAAACUCGAGGCUCAACCUCGAGACGCCGGUGGAAACCGUGUGGCUAGAGUCCGGAAGAGGAGAGUGGAAUUCCUGGUGUAGCGGUGAAAUGCGCAGAUAUCAGGAAGAACACCCGUGGCGAAGGCGGCUCUCUGGGACGUGACUGACGCUGAGACGCGAAAGCGUGGGGAGCAAACAGG
rnacentral:rRNA from 1 species